UGGGGAAUAUUGCGCAAUGGGCGAAAGCUUGACGCAGCGACGCCGCGUGAGGGAUGAAGGCCUUCGGAUCGUAAACCUCUGUCAGAAGGGAAGAAACCGCACUGUGCUAAUCAGCAGUGCCUUGACGGUACCUUCAAAGGAAGCACCGGCUAACUCCGUGCCAGCAGCCGCGGUAAUACGGAGGGUGCAAGCGUUAAUCGGAAUUACUGGGCGUAAAGCGCACGUAGGCUGCUUUGUAAGUCAGGGGUGAAAUCCCACGGCUCAACCGUGGAACUGCCUUUGAUACUGCUUAGCUUGAAUCCGGGAGAGGGUGGCGGAAUUCCAGGUGUAGGAGUGAAAUCCGUAGAUAACUGGGGGAACAUCAGUGGCGAAGGCGGCCACCUGGACCGGUAUUGACGCUGAGGUGCGAAAGCGUGGGGAGCAAACAGG
rnacentral:rRNA from 1 species